GAGAAAUCGGAGCUAAUACCGGAUAAGACCCACAGUAUCCAAGGAUACAGCGGUAAAAGAUUUAUCGCCUUUGGAUGAGUCCACGCCCCAUCAGGUAGUUGGUAAGGUAAAGGCUUACCAAGCCUAAGACGGGUAGCCGGCCUUAGCGGGUGAACGGCCACAUGGGGACUGAGACACGGCCCUGACUCCUACGGGAGGCAGCAGUGGGGAAUAUUGGGCAAUGGGCGAAAGCCUGACCCAGCGAUGCCGCGUGAGGGAUGAAGGCCUUCGGGUUGUAAACCUCUGUCAGGAGGGACGAUGGGACUUUGUCUUGACGGUACCUCCAGAGGAAGCCCCGGCUAACUCCGUGCCAGCAGCCGCGGUAAUACGGAGGGGGCAAGCGUUGCUCGGAAUUACUGGGCGUAAAGGGUCCGCAGGCUGCCAGGCAAGUUGGUUGUGAAAGCUCAAGGCUUAACCUUGGAAUUGCAUCCAAAACUGCCUGACUAGAGUCCAAGAGAGGUUGGCGGAAUUCCCGGUGUAGCGGUGAAAUGCAUAGAUAUCGGGAGGAACACCAGAGGCGAAGGCGGCCAACUGGCUUGGUACUGACGCUCAGGGACGAAAGCGUGGGUAGCAAACCGGAUUAGAUACCCUGGUAGUCA
rnacentral:rRNA from 1 species